GACGAACGCUGGCGGCGUGCUUAACACAUGCAAGUCGAACGGAAAGGCCCUGCUUUUGUGGGGUGCUCGAGUGGCGAACGGGUGAGUAACACGUGAGUAACCUGCCCUUGACUUUGGGAUAACUUCAGGAAACUGGGGCUAAUACCGGAUAGGAGCUCCUGCUGCAUGGUGGGGGUUGGAAAGUUUCGGCGGUUGGGGAUGGACUCGCGGCUUAUCAGCUUGUUGGUGGGGUAGUGGCUUACCAAGGCUUUGACGGGUAGCCGGCCUGGGGGGGUGACCGACCAAAUGGGGACUGGAAUACGGCCCGAGCUCCUACGGGAGGAAGAAGUGGGAAUUAUGGCAAAAGGGGCGGAGGCCUGAUGCGGCAACGCCGCGUGCGGAAGGACGGCCUUCGGGUUGUAAACCGCUUUCGCAUGUGACGAAGCGUGAGUGACGGUAAUGGGUAAAGAAGCACCGGCUAACUACGUG
rnacentral:rRNA from 1 species